rnacentral:rRNA from 1 species
UACGAAGGGGGCUAGCGUUGCUCGGAAUUACUGGGCGUAAAGCGCACGUAGGCGGCUUCUUAAGUCGGUGGUGAAAUCCUGGAGCUCAACUCCAGAACUGCCUUCGAUACUGGGAAGCUCGAGUUCGGGAGAGGUGAGUGGAACUGCGAGUGUAGAGGUGAAAUUCGUAGAUAUUCGCAAGAACACCAGUGGCGAAGGCGGCUCACUGGCCCGAUACUGACGCUGAGGUGCGAAAGCGUGGGGAGCAAACAGG